rnacentral:tRNA from 3 species
GGAGCGGUAGUUCAGUCGGUUAGAAUCCCUGCCUGUCACGCAGGGGGGCGCGGGUUCGAGUCCCGUCCGUUCCGCCA